GGGCAUUUGCUCUAGUGGUAUAAUUUUCUCUUUGGGUAUGAAAGGUCUCGAGUUUGAUUCUCGGAAUGUCCU
rnacentral:tRNA from 1 species